UACGGAGGGUGCAAGCGUUGCUCGGAAUCAUUGGGCGUAAAGCGCACGUAGGCGGCUCGUUAAGUCGGAUGUGAAAGCCCCGGGCUCAACCCGGGAAGUGCACUCGAAACUGGCGAGCUUGAGUAUGGAAGAGGGUCUCGGAAUUCCCGGUGUAGAGGUGAAAUUCGUAGAUAUCGGGAGGAACACCAGUGGCGAAGGCGGAGACCUGGGCCAAUACUGACGCUGAGAUGCGAAAGCGUGGGGAGCAAACAGG
rnacentral:rRNA from 1 species